ACUAUAGCCUAAUUUAAUGGAUUACUAAAAUAUUAGAGAAAAUAUUUAAUAAUUUGGUCAUUUGUAUCAAAAAGUAUGGUUUCAUGGGAAAGAGGGCUCUCAACAUUAUCUGAAAUCCCCCAAAACAAUAAUAAGCAGGUAUAAUAUAGGCUUGGUAUGGAUAAGUCAUUUCAUUGUUUGAUUUUUCUAAAAUUUUUUAUUAGAUAUUUUCUUCAUUUACAUUUCAAAUGCUAUCCCCAAAGUCCCCUAUACACCCCUCCCAUCCUGCUCCCCAACCCACCCACUCCCACUUACUGGCCCUGGCAUUCCCCUGUACUGGGGCAUAUGAUCUUCACAAGACCAAGGGCCUCUCCUCCCAUUGAUGGCCGACUAGGCCAUCCUCUGCUACAUAUGCAACUAGAGCCACAGCUCUGGGGAGUACUGGUUAGUUCAUAUCGUUGUUCCUUCUAUAGGGUUGCUGAGCCCUUUAGCUCUUUGGGUACUUUCUCUAGCCUCUUCAUUAGGGGCCCUGUGUUCCAUCCAAUAGAUGACAUUGUUUGAUUUUUAAUUGACUUAAAUGUUUCAAAGGUAAAAGUUUUACUUCAAAUUAUUGAAAAAUCUUAUUUUACAUAAUUAUGAAAAAUUCAUUUAUAUUACUCUUUUCAAAUAUUAUCAUCCACAAGAUCAUAUGCAUACAGAUAACAUUAAAUGGGUCAAUAAAGUUAUAUUUAUGUAUUUACAUGUGUGUUUUUGUGUGUGGUGUGUUUGUGUGCAUGAGAGAGAGAGAAAGAGAGAGAGAGAGAGAGGAAAGAGAGAGAGCAAUGCAUGAGAAAGGUUGGAGGGAGAAAUGGAAAGGGAAGUUAUGCAAUUACAAGUUAAAAAAUUUUUUAAAAAUUAAAUAUUGAAUAAAUUUCCUUUCAGGGAAGCAAUUUACCCAUAGAGUAUCUAAAAUCACUGGCGAUAUGUGGUGUAUUUAUCUAAGGGUGAUAGCUGACAUUUAAUAUAAAAUCAAUUUUAUAUCUUGAUGAGCAGCCACAGCAAUAAACUCAUAUAUUUUUGUUUGUUGUUUGGUUGUGGUUUCUCUUAUUUAGUUCCUUGUGAAUGGAGGGAGACCACAGCAGGUCUGCUACAGAGUUGUGUUGAGAUUAGGUGACUGGACUUAGAGGAAGGGAUGGCGACAUGAAGGUCUGCAGACUUCCUGCUUUCUCGGCCUGAGUGGCCUGUAGGUUCCCAGUGAAUGACUGGCUGCUGUGCUUGGAGGUUGGGAUAAAUGAGUGGUGUUCCGGAAGUUAGGAAGGAAAGACCUGUGUGACUCACUGGAGAUGGGUGCAGGAGGGGAAGGGAGGCUGCAGUGGGUGGCUUACUACAGAACUGGGGAAGAUACUGAGGAUAUUUGGAGGAGAGGAGGGAAAAGUCACCUACCGUUAGCCUACGUGCUUCUCGGGCUAGUGUGAUCUGUAGGUUCCUGGGGAAUCAGAAUAUACCUUAAAAGUAUUAUUUUAUCUGUGUAGAAUUAUAUCAACAUUAUGAGUGAGGCACAGUCUCAUUUGUCGAGGAUUGCUUUGUACCUACUAAAUAAUUAUAGAUAAUAUUGAACUUCCUUUAAUUACCUCUAGAGAAGAUUAUUGCUUUUAUAAAAAAUGAAAAUAUUGUUGUAAUUAGUUUCUGGAUUUACAUAUUUUUAUUAGACCAGAUAUAGAUUUGAUCAGUUAGCUUGCGCACAUGAUUCACUCUUGAAAGCAACUGUUCAAUUAGACUCAAAUUUAAAUAUAUAUAAAUCUACCACUGUAUUUUUUUGUAGCAGUCUCAGUGAGUAGAAUAACUGUGAAAAGGAUUGAAAACAUUAUUUUUAGUGGAAGAAAUUUUACAAUGGGUACUUUUUUUCUUAAAAUAAAUCACAAUGUUUGUUUGUCUAGAGCAACUUUGCAUCUAAAUGUGGAAUAAUUUCCUUACUCAAUAAAUGAUGAAGUAAAUACAGUAGUGGCAAAUGGCAGAUAAAAUGAGAGCAAAUAGAAGCAGCUGAUAUUUAGCAAAACAAUGAAAAAUUACCCGUGUCAUGGUCAUUUCAUCAGUUGUAUUUCUAAGUUUUAUGAAGUUUUGCAUCAUUGUAAAAGGAAGAUGUUCCUAUGGCGAGAGCAGUGCCAAGUGGAGGAGGAAGGAACCACACUGCACACACAGAAACUGCCUCUAGAAAAACUUGCUCAGUUUUACUGUCCUUUCUGCUAAAUCUUACAUAUUUUAAUUAAAAUAGAAAAUCUGUGGCUGGGAAUAUGUAUAUGCUUAAAUUUUAUUUAAAGUCUAUCAAUGUUUAACAUAAAUUUAUAAAACAUUAGAAAACAUUUACAUUGUUAACAUUGAAAAAAACGCUGCUCCUUCAUCUCUCUGUUUCACAUAGCCAUUGUCUAUAGAAAGGAUUGCAGUGCACUGAGGUGGACUCUUCAGUGUGAACUGAGAUGGAUGCUUCAGCUGGAGCACUCACACAUGAGACUGAACGCUGUUGCUCAUGAUAUGGUCACCUAUUUCAUUACAAUCACCUUUAUUAAAUUGCACUUU
rnacentral:lncRNA from 1 species